GACGAACGCUGGCGGCGUGCUUAACACAUGCAAGUCGAACGGAGAACGAGGGAGCUUGUUCUUUCCGGAUGAGUGGCGAACGGGUGAGUAACACGUGAGCAAUUUGCCCCGGACUCAGGUAUAUUCGUUGGAAAGGACGUCUAAUACCAGAUACGCCGCUGCAGCAUAUCCUCUCCGCGUCGCAAGAAGCUGGGUUCGGGAUGGGCUCGGGGUAUCAAAGCUUGGUGGUGGGGUAACGGCUCACCAAGGCGACGACGGGCAGCCGGCCUGAGAGGGUGACCGGCCACACUGGGACUGAGAGACGGCACAGACUCCUACGGGAGGCAGCAGUGGGGAAUAGUGCACAAUGGGCGCAAGCCUGAUGCAGCAACGCCGCGUGAGGGACGACGGCCUUCGGGUUGUAAACCUCUUUUAGCAGGGAAGAAGCGAAAGUGACGGUACCUGCAGAAGAAGCACCGGCUAACUACGUG
rnacentral:rRNA from 1 species